rnacentral:tRNA from 1 species
AUUUAGAUAGCUUAUUUAAGAGUAUGAUAUUGAAGCUAUCAAGGAGAUUUCUCUAAAUA